rnacentral:lncRNA from 1 species
UCUUUUAUUGCCAUUGAUAAUAUAAAUAUAUUAUUUAAAAAUCCACGAGGAAAAUAAAAUUCCUGUAGCUGGCUGUAUACCAUAAAUCACAAAAAAUACAAGGUCCUUUGUAAAAGGUAUAUUUAAAAGACCCCGAUAAAGGUUACAUCACAAAGCAAAACGUUUUCUGAUUAAUAGGUAAUCCAUCAUCAGUGUUAAGCCCUAAAAUAAUCUUGUUUUAUCAUCAGUUACCAAAGUUCUUCAGGUAUUGCAUUCGCAAAAAACUUUAUUUCGACCAAGGAUAUUAUGUACCAAUAGAAACACUUAUAAUUCAAGAAAUGUACAGGUUUACUUAGUACAAAAUUAUUGCUACAAUGUAUUGAUCACUGAUUCAGGUAUAUGACACUAAAACAAUGAUCUCGCUUCAUUAAAAUGAUGUACUCUUACAUCAGUUCGGUUUACUUCAACAGAACUAUAUUUUAUCUUAAACAUUAAAUCAAGAAAUGCGUUCAUUAAUUCAAUAAACGAGGUUGUAAUUUAAAAAACAUUUACCUUUUUCUUCGAUUUUUUGUACUAAAUAAGAAAAAAAAAUGAAAAAUUAAGAUUUUAAAAAUUUAUUUAUUGAUACUAUUUUAUAAACAUUUUCUUUUUGCAUGUCCAUGGAAAUAUGUAUACAGGAAAUCUAAGCUUUUUUAGAUCUAUAUAAGUUUUUAGAUAAAUUUUUACAGUGAGAAGGUGAUACUAAGUCCGUUCUUGGAGGCAUGUAACCCUAGUACUAGGGUUAUAUUUUUUUAGAUACUUUAAUUUGAUUGGUGAAAAAAAAAGGAGAAGUGAGAAACGACUUAACAAAUUAAAAUUAGAAGAAAAAUAAAAAAUGAAUUAGGCGGAUGAGGAUGAGACGUACUGGCUCAGGAAGUGCAGAUCGGCUUGAUUUUCAUGCUGUUGUUUAGGAAAGACAGAGAUAGUGAUAAUGGAAGGAACAAAAAAAAGUAAUGAAACACUGAA